rnacentral:lncRNA from 1 species
AGGUGAAAUGUGGGAACGUUAGGAAUUUCUUUACCACAAAGUCCCUCUUCAUAUGCCAGUCACUAAGUUGUAGGAAUUUAAAGGUGUUUUUGGGAUAAUUGUCUAUACUGAGAAGGUUCAGGAUUCUAAAAAGUAACACAUUUUUAUUUUAUAAAUAAAGUCUAGCUCUCUUUUGCACAAUUUUUUGUUAGACACAAAUGCCAGACCCUAAGACCUUCAAGCAGCACUUUGAGAGCAAGCAUCCUAAGACUCCACUUCCUCCAGAAUUAGCUGAUGUUCAGGCAUAAGGUUGUUUACAGGUGAAUUCAUGACACCUUUGACUCUUCUACUGUCUCAGACCUUAGGUAACAUACCUGCAGCUGCUUUUCUAACAAACUGUUGAUCAGCAAAAAUAAAGGGGCUACAGAAACACUCAUUUUUAUGCUGUUCCCUCUUGGGCUUCAUGCAAAGACAAUUCUGUGUAAAUGUACAGUUGACUCUGAUUUGGAAAUAUGAAAAUCAGUCCAUCCUUGUUAUAAAAAAUUUUUUUACAAUUGUAAUUAUAUUGAUGUUCAUAUUGUGUAAAAUAACUCAUUUAAUAAAAUAGUACUUUGAUUUACGACAUCACAGGAUAAA